UAGAUGCUGGAAUAACUUUUCAAAGUUUAAAAUAUUUGUCAAAAGAAGACAUUGCGGAAGCAGUAAAAAAUAUUGGUCUUCGAGCAGAGUUUAGAGAAAAGUUGUUUUUCUGGCGCAAGUGAAAGUUUGGAAUAGAAGACGAAACGUUGAGCCAGACUUCAAAAGUUGUUGGUUGGCUAGAAAAAAACCGUCACAAAGAUUCACCUUGUUCUUCAAAUAAUUCAAUAAGAAACGCAUUUGGAUCACAGCCCCUUUCAACAUUUUUAAACGAUAACUCAGCCGGAAAACAACUUAUUCAAUAUUAUGAGGAAUGGGCAUGUUUUACGAAUAAGCAACGCGAUGCCCUCAUUAAAAUAAUUUUAGAAGAUGUCAUGUUAACAAAGACAAAGCUUAGACCAGAACACUUUGCUGUUUUGUGGAAGAAAUAAUUGGUUUAUUUCCCAAUUAAAAAGAGUCCCAGGUAUUAUUAAAAACGAUAUAUCUUUUUCGAGUGAAGUACGUGAUCUAUUAGUAGACGAAAAUGUUGAAGUUGACGAAACGCUGUCGUUAUGUUUAAAACCUUCGCUUCAAAAAGAUAUCAAUAAUUGGGAUGAGGUUAUUGACAAAUGGCAAAAAAACAUUUACAUUUCGGAAAAAGGAUUUGGCAAAGCUUUCGAAUUCUGAUUUUUGCAAGAGUGGCCAAUUUUAAAAGCCUCCAGAGCACCAUUUCUGAUUAAUCUAGAUUUCAAUUUGAUUUAUCCAGCAAAAGAUAAUCGUUUAAAAACAAAGUGGGAUAAUUUUAAAACCAAGAUAGUGAACUACUACUAUGCCAACAUACGGAAUCAGCAAUCAAUAGAUCUUUUGAACCAAGCAAAAACGAGGAAAAAAAUUGAUUUUCAAGACUACAUUUUUACAAUUCUUCUCAAUUCAGUUUUGCUGCCUUCAGCAAGAUUUAGUGUAGAUGGAAAUACAAAAAAGAAAGCCACCAUUAAAGAUGCUAAUGAAAGCUUCGUAUUGCAGUUAACAACAAUUAGCGAUUACUCAAUACGAAUAAAAGAAAUUAUCGGUAAAUAUUUUUAUAAUAAAUUGACUGUACAGCCGUUUAUAAUUGUGGUAGGAGACUCUGAGGACAAUCUAAAAACCUUUUACAUUUACUUUGUACAAACUAAAUUCUUUUAUUGAAAGUUUGGAUAUAUGCUUUAAAAUCUUUCACGUGUUUAAUCUUAAAUAUACUAAGAUCUGCGAAAUGCCAUGGAUAUUUAUCCAAAAGUAUUUUUAUGAAUUAGAUUCAAAAUUUGAUUUAAAAAGUUCAAAUCUUACUUCAUUGUUAACACAUAUGAAUGAAAAAAAUUAAAUUUUUCGAUUGUAAUAAUGUAUAAAUGUUUCAGAUGUUUUCUAAUUUCGAUCUUGAUAAGUUAACAAAUUUAAUUAAAGCACAUCAUCAAUUAUAUAUUCUACUUUACGGUAAUUUGAAACCUAAGCAUCAUUUUUUGGUGCACUACCCACAAGCAAUUGAGAAAUGUGGUCCUCUCAAGUUUGUCUGGGCAAUGCGUUUCGAGGCAAAACAUAAAGAUGCAAAAAUAUAUUUUAACAAUAUAACAUCUCGAGUAAAUCCUGCUUAUACAGCGGCUAUGAAAAGUUCUUUUUGUUUUUCAAAUUUUUCACAUAAGUAUAAAGAUGGGUUUCCGCAUGCUUUUAACACUGAAACAUUUAUUACA